UUUUCUUUUUGUCUUGAAUAAUAAAGAGACUACAUUUUGAAAACCCUAGUAUAAAAUGCUCUCAACCUCAUUCUUGAGAGGGAGCACCUUCACAUCCUCUUUUUCUCCCUUACAAAAGAAGGCAGCCAUCUUCACACAAGAACACCCGGACACAUGCACACAGAAAAGGGACGGACACAAAGAAAUGGAAAAAAAAACUUAGAGAAAACGAGGGGGAUGAAACAGUGACAAAAUUAAGGAAUUCGCUGACAACUGACUCCACUUUUUCUUCUUUUUAUUUCUAGCAGACCACUAGAUAUUUUAAAAACAUUGAAACACGUCAUCUUCCUUUUCAAACUUCAAUUCUCUUUUCAUUUCCUUGUUGACCGACGACAGCCGCCAACUCCGCCACCACCCUCCACCGUGCUCAGCUUUGAGGGUUUUCAUAAGUUUGCAGUUCGCAUGCUCGACGCUUUGCCUCAGUAAUCAGAACUCUUAGACCUCAAAUUAAUUCGACACUAAGCAGUGAAAUGUGGUUUGGUUGAGAGAUCCGAGUUUCGGCAAAAGCUUGCAGUUGAGUUCCUAGUGAGUUCGUCGUUCGAGGUUGUGGAUCCGAGUUUCGGUUGUGGUUCGAUCACAAUUCAAUUGAGACAGAUUAUUUGUUGUACAUCUUGCUGGGAAUUUUAAUUAAAAUUGGAGAAGCUCCUACCUUAAGUGAGGUGUGGAUCAAUGUACCAGAUCUCAAGCAUGACAAAUACCCAGGACCACUGCAUUUAGGAGCUGCUUAUAGAUACUUUUAUGUUUUGAGUCUGUCAUUCAUGUUGUCUUUUACUUUCUGGUCUUGUACAGUAAUAUCGAUUCUUUUGUGAUAUUACUUCCCAUUUUGUAUUUGAAAAACCAAAAAAAAAAUUAAAUGAAAAAUCCAAAAAGAUUUUUGUUUUUUAGUUUAUUUUAUCCAUCAUUUUUUCAGAACUACGCUUGAUCAGAUUCAUGAGGGACAUGAUACGUAGGCAACAUACAUAGGGUUCGAUCGAAUCAU